rnacentral:lncRNA from 1 species
GGCAUUGCCAAGUUCUCAGACAUGGAGUUCCUUCUCAUCUCUCUCUCAAGGACAUCAAUGCAUAACCGGUCUUUGUUAGUUCCCUGCCCCUGCUUUGUAGCUUCAAGAUAAUCCUUUCGCCUUGUCAUUCUCCGACAGAUUGCUACAGCUGUUUGCCCAUCUGAUGUAGUUUCUGAUGCGCAUGCUCCCUUGCUCAGCAGAGUCACCAUCACUUCUGGCUCAUUACGCCUUGCAGCCACAUGAAGCACCGUACGUCCUCUUGCAUCCUUAAGAUUGAGACAAGCCAAGUCCAUAUUGAGCACUUCCUUGAAAACCUUAGGGCUGCAGUAGGCAGCAGCAUAGUGCAGGGCGUAAGCAUCAUCCAGAGUGACACUAGAUACAUCCAGAAGAAGCUUCAACAGUUCAACGUCAUCAGAGUCCAGCGCCUUGUGGAUUCUUCUGACUAUUUUUGCAUGCAUAGGGUCCACUUCUGCUAUAUUAGCUUCAGACUCCUGGUUAGAUUUGACACGGAGUGAUUUGAUUUCACUUGAAACUUCAUCAGGAAGCUCUUUCUCGAGACAAACAUUGUCAAGAUUUGACUUUGCAAUUCUCUGGAUGCAGAAAGAACGGAGGUGGUUCAGUUGGCAAUGCAAGGCAGCCACGAGAAUUGGGAUUACAUCUUCCACAAGAGCCUUCUCAACCAAGUUCAGAAGCCAAAGCUACACGGACAGAUAGAGUUUUGAUUCAGAAUAAUAUAUUCAAAAUUCAGAUACCCCAUAGUGGGUAAUUAUUGAAGCCAAGUCCAUAUUGAGCACUUCCUUGAAAACCUUAGGGCUGCAGUAGGCAGCAGCAUAGUGCAGGGCGUAAGCAUCAUCCAGAGUGACACUAGAUACAUCCAGAAGAAGCUUCAACAGUUCAACGUCAUCAGAGUCCAGCGCCUUGUGGAUUCUUCUGACUAUUUUUGCAUGCAUAGGGUCCACUUCUGCUAUAUUAGCUUCAGACUCCUGGUUAGAUUUGACACGGAGUGAUUUGAUUUCACUUGAAACUUCAUCAGGAAGCUCUUUCUCGAGACAAACAUUGUCAAGAUUUGACUUUGCAAUUCUCUGGAUGCAGAAAGAACGGAGGUGGUUCAGUUGGCAAUGCAAGGCAGCCACGAGAAUUGGGAUUACAUCUUCCACAAGAGCCUUCUCAACCAAGUUCAGAAGCCAAAG